GUGGCCUCCAGCGUCUAUGACCUGAGCAUCGGGUAACUCCGUGGAGUGUUGGGAGAACCACACACCCCCCACUUCCACCCAGGAGCAGACGUGCUGGUCAGAAGACACUGGAUCUGGCGCAGCACCUGAAACUGACUCCUCUAACUAGCUGCCCCUCGUCCCCCAGCUGGGGGCCCGGGGAAGCUCCGGGGCUGGGUAACCUCCCGCCGCGCCAGAGCGCUUGAGGGAACUUCCAGAACAGAUGCCCUCUGAGACUUGAGUCCAUUCGUUCUGCUCCUGUCUCAGGGUAGCAAGAGGCCCAGGAGCAAAACCGAAGCGGCUUUGUCUCCCUGUGAGAAGUGGGCAAUGAACGACCAGUCACGGCGCUCGCGGAGGCUGCGGUGCACCGCUCACCUGGGUUUCCUUGGCUCUCGGCACCCACCGAGGUUGUGCUGAUGUAUCCAGCUCAGGUGGCGCCUGUGGGGCUUUUAGAUACAUUCAGUGAAAUAAGUGUCAGCUCGAGAACGAGGCUUUAUGGUUUGUUUAUCGGGUGAUGUGUGACUGAUUAUGGGCCAGUGGCAGGAGUGUUUUGACCCAUCUUUUUUUCCCACUUUUAUUGAGAUAUAAUCAACAUGACAGUCCUGCAUGAGUUUAGGGGCUACGGCAUACUGACGUGGCAUACAUGUGCUGUGAAGGGGUUACCACAGUAAGUUUAGUUAACAUCCAUCUCCUUGGUUAGUUGCCAAAAAAAAUGUCUUUAAUACCGAUAGUAAAUGCAGCCAGUAACAGACCUUUGGGCGGACACUCAGCACAACUGUGGUGGAGAAAGAGCAGCAGGUAAGGAGUGAGGUUCUUGACCCCAGGACUGGGUAGGGCUUCAACACCCCCUGGAAUUACGUACCGUUUCCCUGAAGGAAAUUGCUUUCAUCAAAUGGGUCUGCAUCCCAGAAUUUUCUCUCUUCUCUGCCUCUCUCCCUCUCUGUCUCUCUCUCUCACACACACACACACACACACACACACACACAACACAGAGUCAGGAUAUGGAUGACGGCUUUGGGGAAGGGGCAGAUCAGGUGGAUCCUGGCGCUGAAAGGUAACAUUGAGAAGCUUCUCUCUCAGGUGUGACCUCCUUAGAAUCCUCAUUGCUGUGUCCAGAACGCGUCUUAUAGAAAUUGGUCUCAAAUUAACUGUAAACUGAAGGCACCUUCCGGCUGUGAGAGCACCGGGUAGGUCUUCGGAUCCCUUCACAGGGUUUCCUCCUGAAGCCACAUGUUCCCCGAGUGGCUUCGUGUGAGCCCAGGCCUCCUCCACGACCACAGGGCAGAGAGGGGCCUGUUCACACACACACAGGGUGUGAAGGGUGUGCAGACCUUGCUGAAAGUGGGUUCCUCAACCGAGAGGUCACCCACAGUGAGCACUCUGCCUAAGGCUGACACCAGAGCAGGGUCACCUGAACAGGAGCCGGUCCUGUGGCUGGAGCCUCUUGCAGACCCGAAUGUUGGGCACCAUUGUGAGCUUUGCCAGGAGCCCAUGAAAUCUAGGCUGACCCCCAGGGCCACAUGUCUGCUGCUCUUGAGCUGAAAGCAAAUGCAUAUAGCAAGUGCCACUAUUGAAUGAAUUGUUUUCUGUUUGUCAAUGUUGUCAUUGAUUCUGCAGUGAUGAUUUCUGCUGGGAAACCUUGAGGCUGCUUCUUCCAGAAUUGUUUCUUCAUGAGCUUCAACAAAACUGGAGGGAAAGCCUGCUACUUAGAAUGAAAUAGGGAAUGAAGCCCAAACACUAGAGCAGGUCGGUGUAAACCAGCAUGAUGGGCAGAGAAGAGAAGGAGGAUUACGCGGAGCCCACGCUGGGCCUGAUGGCUUCCUGACUUGAUGGAAGGGCUCUUGCCAGGUUCCGGAUGCCCCCGAGACCACCUCAGCCUGUAGACUGGCACAACUUCAUGUCAUAGCAAGUUGCUUGGUUGGUGAGGAGCCUCUGGACCACGGAGGCUCAGCAAACAGCAGUGCCCAGGCAGAACCAUAUCGCCCAAGCCCUGGCCCCAUGCCUACAUCCACGUGGUACCACGGUGAGACCGAGUCUCCACCUGAACAGACACCAGGGCCAGCGGCGGGUCUCCAGUGACGGUGCGCGCAUCCCUACCGCCAGCCUGCGCGACAAAGUGCCUCCACAUCUUCAUCAGGCAACAGAAAAGGGCAACGGAGCUGCUUCCUCAGAAAACUGAUGCAGUUAAAGCGCUAUCCUUUAACAGCCAUGCUUUUCCUCCACUUUCGGUACUGAAAUAUACCUUCAUGAAAUGAAGAACAAAUAGUAUUUUUUUUUUACAAUUUCCUACUUAAAAAUAGUUGCUGAUACUGUGCCCCACCUCCCAGAAAUUUUAAUACUAAGAUAAUAAAAUUGAUCUGCCUCCUGACCUGUGAGAUCAGGAAAUCUAGGGACCUGUGGUCUAGUUCAAAUCCCUUGUUUUACAGAAAAUCAGAUAGGCUCAGAGAAAGGAAAGCCCGUCGCUCGGGAACGCUGGGCCCCAGCAGGCUGCGCGUGUUUAACCUCAGGAGUUAUGUAUUUGUGGGUAGGCCUUUAUGUUGC